rnacentral:lncRNA from 1 species
CGAUCUAAUUCUGAUUCACUGAAGCUCAGCAUGUUAGCUUGAAUCACUAGAGUUUGCAAAUGGUCGGCUACUUCCCGUACUUGAGUGAAAGCUUCAUUCAUGAUGUGAUCUCUAUCCCAGAUCUGACUUUGAGAGCGUUAGAGUUUCUCUUUCCAAUAUUCAUUGUUUGUUUCAAGAAGCUCAACUCGAAGUUCACAAUUUCGUAGUACAGCCUCAAGCUCUUCUGUCAUUCUCUUCAACUCUUCAAUCUUAGUCUGGCUUGCUUUCAACUCAGUCACAAAGUUGAGACUAUGAUGUUGAUGCAAAGAUAUUUCC